rnacentral:siRNA from 1 species
AGACCAUGAAAAUCCGAUGUUGUA